ACUCCACUCUUCUGGCUCUGGACCCACACCUGAUCGCUGGAACAAGAAAGCCAGCCUGCCAUCCAGCUCAGCCAAACACAUCAGAGGACUGAGGUGCUCAAUGAUGGUCGCACAUUGAGAAGAUGGUGACAGUCCCAAGACGGCCUCAGCCCUGCACUACAUCUCUACCAGACACUUCCACUCCACACUCACACCCAUCUUUCAAUAACCUCAAUUUUGUCAUGAGUAUGUGGUUAAACAGUUAACAUACUUUCUGCGUGUGAAAAUGGUUUAUGGGUGAAUAAAAAAUUUGUUUUCUUGUGA